rnacentral:misc_RNA from 1 species
UCCUGGUUAACCCAGGCAGUCUCAUUAGAGUUCCCACCUUUACGUGCUGGCAACUAAUGACAAGGGUUGCGCUCGUUGCGGGACUUAACCCAACACCUCACGGCACGAGCUGACGACAGCCAUGCAGCACCUGUUUACCUGCUCUUGCGAGAAACGCUAUCUCUAGCGCGGUCAGGUAUAUGUCAAGUCCAGGUAAGGUUCUUCGCGUUGCAUCGAAUUAAACCACAUGCUCCACUGCUUGUGCGGGUCCCCGUCAAUUCUUUUGAGUUUUACCCUUGCGAGCGUACUCCCCAGGCGGUAUACUUAUCACGUUAGCUUCGACACAAUCGGGGUUGAUUCCAAUUACAUCUAGUAUACAUCGUUUACGGCAAGGACUAC